rnacentral:tRNA from 1 species
GGGCUGGUCGUAUAAUCUGGCUAUUAUGCCCGGCUGGCAGCCGGGAGGUUCUGGGUUCAAAGGCUUGAAGGUUCAAACCUUCGGUUUGAAAGUCCCAGCCAGUCCA